UCUGUGUCCAGCUGGCCUUGGUCUGCUUCACUGUCUUGCAUGCAAACAGCAGCUCCAGCACUUUGUGAAGGAGCAUCACUGCUGCAAAGAAUCACCCAGGUGGCUCUGGAUUGAAACAACUCUGGUCCCAGUGGAUAACACGCAUCUGAAGCUCCAUGUAAGGUGGUUUUAAUUACAUAAAGCAGACAUCUAAAGCCAAGAAUUCAUCAGCAUGUGGCCCAGAAGUGUGGGGAAAAGAAAAAAAAAACACAGACCACUGAUAAACAUCAUGAACUGGCAAGUAUUCCUCAUCUGUUCACAGUGUUGGAAGCAAGACCAACAUCAUCUUCGUUGAACAUCUUAUCUGAGCUUCUGAACUGCUGGUAAUCUCUGUAUGAACCACUGCCAGAAAACGAGUCCUGAUGUGAAGUCCAGUCACUCUGGUAGCCUGCUUUCUGAUGCCUGAAUCCUUGACAACUAGAUUCCUGGUUCCAGCUAGACUCCUGCUUCCAGCUAGAGCUCUGGUUCCACCUAGAGUCCUCAUUCCACUCAUUCCACCUGGUGUCCUGGUGCCACCUGGAGCCACCUCUUCCUGAAACAGCAGAAUUUGCAGAAGAUGUACAAGUAUUCACAGACUCAUCAUGCUUGUAAGAGGAAUAGCUUUGCAAUGGAUCAUUUGUGGAGUAUCUUCCAGAUGAAGGAUACGAGGCUGUAGAAUUGGGAUAGGAUAAUCCUUGAUCACUUACAGUCCACGCUUUUGUACACGCUUGUUGAUUCCUCCAUUUUGUAUUUUCCCUGCCAUAUGAGAGUCUGUUAUCGUGGAGUUUACUUCCUUGCACAUCUCUGGACAUAUAUUCUGCUGAGUACUCCCUCACUGGGCUUGUCACAUAGGAAGAGGCCCCAGCAGCUGAAUUACUGCCAGAUGCAGAUUGGCUGAACUGUCCCAGCCAUUCACUGACACCACUGGCAGGACUUCCAGUGUGAAGAGCAAGAGAGUCCCUGAGUGCAGACAUCAUUGCGAAGUCAUUAGACAUCAGAUGACAGGAAGAUGAUCCAUCAUCUGUUUGGUAACUGUAUGAGUGAGCAGGAGCAAAAGAAGCUUCUGCAGAGCACUCUUCAUACUGAGACAAAAAACCUUGAUUCCAGUUAGAACUUCCUGAAUAAAUAAAGAAAGGACACUAAAAGUUAGCAAAACAUUAAAAUAUCAACUGCAAACACAAGAUUUUAUAAAGUGAUUCUAUGAAGUGUCCUUCUGUUCUUUUCCCA